AUAACUCAAAUUUGUAUGCAGUUGGAACGUUUGCCGCUAGGGGCGCUGUUCCAAUUACAUACAAAUUUGAGUUA
rfam:Bombyx mori DNA, contig: Bm_scaf9_contig7534, strain: p50T/Dazao, build 2, whole genome shotgun sequence.